CAACACCUCCCGCCUCCCAACAUCGCUGCCUACCCUGCCAUCACCGCAACCACGCAUCACUCCAGCUGGGAUCCAUCGCGCAGUCCACCUCGUCCAUGCGUGCAGUCCCUCCUUGUCCGCUCGCUUGACAGCAGAGGUGAGACCUACCUCUGUGCCUCCUCCUCCACCUUACGGCCAGUUCAAUUUGCUCUAGCAAUUCAAUUUUGUCAUGUGCAUCACCCAGAUGAAUAUGUAUGUGUUUUGUUUAGUAUACAUUGAGUAAAUUUAGUAUUUUUUUUUUCAACUCACUCCAGCAAUCCUAUUAUUUUCAAUUUGACGUUUAUGUGUACAUUGAGAAAGUUGAGUAUUGUCGUGGUCGACAAUGACCAUGACUAGCUAAGUAACUUUGUCCAAUUAUCUAUAUGGGUGCAUAUCUUGUCUUUACUGAAAUGCCUCCACGAACAAGAAUACUAGUUCCAUCAGUUUCAAGUACGUGUGAUGUGGUCCUCUGGUUUUUUAUUCUUUCGUGAAAUUCUUGUAGUGUUCUACAUCUCCUUGUUCUCUCGUAAUGGGGCGUGUACUGGUUUUUCCAUGAAAAUAUUCUGUAGCUAGCUGGUAGUGCAACUACUCUCUCGCCUGUGUUGCUUCCUAUCCUUCCGGUGCCACUGUAACUACUCUCUCGCCUGUGUUAUUGUUCUAUGUGAUGCCUCUGCUUUGUGUCCAUGCCCAACUUGCUGAUGUUUGUCUCUCACUAGGUGCUAAUUCUCUAUCUAAUUGAUUCCGAUCGACAGCAAAUAGUGCUCCCAAAUCUGCAGAAGGAGCUCCUAAUUUUUAUGUCUGAAGUUCAGCUGUACCAUGGUGACACCGUUCAAAAACACUAGCAGGUGAUGUGCUAACCAGCUGCAGGACAUGGUCUCCUCGAGUUGCAGGUCGCACCCUUUACCCAUCUGUGUUGUCACCCGCGCCCUACCCAUUGCAUUUCUUCAAAAGGUUGAGAGUUCUAUUGGGUUAGAAGCCACAGGAGAGCAUUUAAAUUUGUGUUUGCUUUUGAGUAAAUGUUCUAGGGCUGAAUGUUAUCGUACAAUCUUGUUCAAACCAUGAUUUUUCUUCAGAAGGUUUAGAGUUCUAUUGGGUUAGAAACAUGUACAGUUUGUCAGCUUGUUUCAGGUCGUCUAACUCUGGAGUUCUAGAUUGAUUUACUAGGUUGCCCGCGCCGGCCGUCGAAGCCUACCAAGGUGAUGCCUCACUGCUGCCAGCGUCUCCCUGCACCCCUCCUCCACACCACAAGGUCGAUAGAGAUAUCACGUUGUUUCUGUUGCUCUUCUACUACAUCUUCAGGUUCAGAAAAGGAAACAACAACGUUUCACUGCAGUCCAAAUCCAUGUGUGGGGAGAUGCUACAAGUUUGCCGUCCCUCGAUCUGCCGAGAAGCCUCGCCGUCGUGCCUUCUUUUCUUGCAAUCGCGUAGCUUUAGCCUGAUAUGCUCGGCUGAUGCAUCUCUUUCUUUUUGUUUCUUUUUUGCAAACUUCUUGCUUUUCAUACCUCAACUUGUGUAGAUCUUUUUGCAAUACCGACAUAGAGAAGUCUGCACUUCCAACUGACAUUCAAAAGUUCAGCUUGACGCCAUGCGGGACACUGCAGAGCUGUCGUGGUGUCGAUCGAGGCGCUGAAGUCUAGGGCUGUUGCAUGCUCUUUCUUGCUGAGGUCGAGCUAGAGUGCGAUGGUGUCCAUGCUCGCCACCCUUCUAGAGUCUGGUGCUAAUGCGGGCUUUCUCUUGCUAUUUUUUGUCUUACCAUGAGAGGGAUAACAAAUUAUUUAAUGUACCUUUUCUCCUUUAN
rnacentral:lncRNA from 1 species